AUGGACACGAAGGCCCCUGCUCAGUUCCUGGGGCUCCUGCUGCUCUGGAUUACAAGUACCAGAUGUGACAUCCAGAUGACCCAGUCUCCAUCCACUUUGCCUGCAUCUCCUGGAGACAGAGUCUCCAUCACUUGUCGGGCCAGUCAGAACAUUAACUAUGGGUUAAACUGGUACCAGCAGAAACCAGGGGGAGCGCCAAAGCUCCUGAUCUAUCGUGCAAACAAUUUACAAUCCGGCAUCCCCUCCAGAUUUAGUGGCAGUGGAUCUGGAACAGAGUUCACUCUCACCAUCAGCAGCCUGCAGCCUGAAGACAUUGCCACUUAUUACUGUCAACAGUAUUAUGAUUACCCACCCACAGUGAUACAAGCCAUAACAUAAACCUCCAAGAAGCAGAAGUGUGAGCCUGGGCUCUCCCAGCUGCUUUCCUCAUGCUUCCUCUUGUAAGAGCUGUCCUAGAAUCAUAGGACAGGAAUCCUGCCCAGGACAUCCUGGACCAGCGAGCUUCUGUGUCUCAAUCUUUGGAGUAAGUAUAAUUAUAGAUGUGAGAUACUGGCACUGGGCUGAAUGUUGA